rnacentral:rRNA from 1 species
AGGAUGAACGCUGGCGGCGUGCUUAACACAUGCAAGUCGAACGAUGAACCUCACUUGUGGGGGGAUUAGUGGCGAACGGGUGAGUAACACGUGAGUAACCUGCCCUUAACUCUGGGAUAAGCCUGGGAAACUGGGUCUAAUACCGGAUAUGACUCCUCAUCGCAUGGUGGGGGGUGAAAGCUUUAUUGUGGUUUUGGAUGGACUCGCGGCCUAUCAGCUUGUUGGUGAGGUAAUGGCUCACCAAGGCGACGACGGGUAGCCGGCCUGAGAGGGUGACCGGCCA